AUCUUCAGCAGCUUCAGUUCGUCGUGCAACAAUGGGUAUCUAUGGCAUUGCACUACUACUUACUGUACACUUAUCGCUGGAUCGAGCAUAGGUGUGCCAAUGGGUUCACCGGCUUCUAACUAUGGUAGUUCUUAAUAUCAGACUUCAAGGGCUGCGCCGUACGACGUAUGGAGCCCCCACUUGCUACAGUACAAAGGCGCCCGAGUACUACACCACAACAUAUGCGGCUCCUACUUACCACUCGGAGGCCCCGAAAUACUACGCCGCACCAAGCUAUUAUAUAACAAUGUACGCCACUCCAACAUACUACACCGCAGCUGCGCCGUCUUACUACGCUGAAGCUCCAAGUUACUACACAGCAGUUGCCCCUUCGUACUACGUGGAACCUAUAGCUACUACACCACAACUUAUGCUGCCCCGCUUUACUACACCGCAAAAACGCCAGAGUACUACGCUACCACUUACGCCGCUCCCAGGUACUACACCGAGGCUCCAGCUUAUUACACAACAACGUACGCCACUCUCAGCUAUUACCCUGAGCGACCAAAGUAUUAUUAAUUGUAAAAAUUGUGCUGUCCAUCAAGCUUGAUGACGGGAUGGUUAGGUCUUGUUUUAUUAUUUGCUGUCCUCGUUCCAAAAUGAGUUAUUACCCUGCCAUGUACGUAUUUAUCUAUAACUGGUCGUUGCAUACGUAUGUUGUUUCUAAAUGAGAUGUUGAAUACAGCCAUAAUGUCGUUACGGAA